rnacentral:rRNA from 1 species
UACGAAGGGGGCUAGCGUUGUUCGGAUUUACUGGGCGUAAAGCGCACGUAGGCGGAUUGUUAAGUCAGGGGUGAAAUCCUGGAGCUCAACUCCAGAACUGCCUUUGAUACUGGCAAUCUUGAGUCCGGAAGAGGUGAGUGGAACUCCUAGUGUAGAGGUGGAAUUCGUAGAUAUUAGGAAGAACACCAGUGGCGAAGGCGGCUUCCUGGACACCAACUGACGCUGAGACGCGAAAGCGUGGGGAGCAAACAGG